ensembl:lncRNA novel transcript
UCUUUCAACUUUCUCCACCAACAGGGUCAGGCUGUUGAUUGGCCUCGACUGCAGUUAGCCUGACACGGCUAGCAGCCUCAAAACAAAUUAAACGAGGCAGGGAUGCCGUGCAGUGAUCGUUCCAUUAUGUCCCCUCUGCUUCCACACGUGACUCACACUAUCACUUUUAGAAGGUGAAGCAUCUUAUUGAAUCAACACCUAAUCUGCACACAGUGUCACGGAGGAGGGGCGAGGGGACAGCGGGAGCAUUUUCUCUGAUCCUUUUCUUUCCUGAAGACUUCGCUGGAGACAGGCUGGGUGGGGGCGAAGAUGAAUUGUGAGGAACCCUGACCCUAUUUCAGUACUGCUGCUACUGUCAGCUCCGACAGAUUUAUAGCCCAUUCAUUCAUGGGAACAAAAACCCUGCCACGGCUGGUCAUGGGACACGCAAUAGCAGUUAGUUCAAAAGAUAACAGCUGCAAUACCUCACCUCUCCAUUCAGCACUACAGAGCCAGCACUACUUCGGAGGUAAUAAAUGCUUCUUGUUAGUGU